AUGAUUCCUUCGAAGCAACUUGCUUUUGAUUCACAAGGCAAAUUACUGUUGAAUGCUUCCAACUUUGAGAUUAUUGCUGAAAUUAUUGUGGUUUGUGGGGUUGGAAAGCAUAGAAGUGAAAAAGGGGAAUCAUCAAUUAAAGCAUUGGGUCAGAAGAUGUUGAUGGAGAUGAAAAGUCCACUCAGGAUUCAUAAAAGGAAGAUGGAUGCUUUGUUGGUAAAGGGAUUGGAAUCACCCGCUGAUGGUAGACGUUCAUCUGAGUCUAGCUACCGUAUUGGAGAUAAUGGAACUUCAGGGGGGACAAAUUAG